AACGAACGCUGGCGGCAUGCCUAACACAUGCAAGUCGAACGAUGCCUUCGGGCAUAGUGGCGCACGGGUGCGUAACGCGUGGGAAUCUGCCUUUCGGUUCGGAAUAACUCAGGGAAACUUGAGCUAAUACCGGAUAACGUCGCAAGACCAAAGAUUUAUCACCGAAAGAUGAGCCUGAGUAGGAUUAGCGAGUUGGUGAGGUAAAGGCUCACCAAGGCGACGAUCCUUAGCUGGUCUGAGAGGAUGAUCAGCCACACUGGGACUGAGACACGGCCCAGACUCCUACGGGAGGCAGCAGUGGGGAAAAUUGGACAGGGGGCGAAAGCCUGAACCGGCAAGGCCGCGUGAGUGAUGAAGGCCUUAGGGUUGUAAAGCUCUUUUACCCGGGAAGAUAAUGACGGUACCGGGAGAAUAAGCCCCGGCUAACUCCGU
rnacentral:rRNA from 1 species